rnacentral:snRNA from 13 species
AUACCUUAAAUUUAUGAGUAGGGAAAAUAACAAUUUGGGAUGACGCCCAAAUUCUCACUGCUUAUGUGAGACAAAUUUUUGAGCUGGUAAAGGUUGUCCAAAGGUGACCCAUCUACUUUGUGGAAUGCCUGGGUAUCAUGAUCUGCCCG